UGUCAAGGGAUGGGAAUCAAACCCACGACCUUAAGGCGCAGAUGCCAUGACCACUAGGCUACCCUGGAC